rnacentral:snRNA from 1 species
GUGCUAGCUUCGGCAGCACAUAUACUAAAAUUGGAACGAUACAGAGAAGAUUAGCAUGGCCCCUGUGCAAGGAUGAUAUGCAAAUUCGUGAAGCGUUCCAUGUUUUU